UUGAAGUGUGACUGGAGCUCCUCCAUCAGCACUUCUGCUCSUUGCCUUUCCAAGGGUAUACUUUUACAUUUUGGAUGCAAGGUUGGUGGAAAGCUUCUUUUGGAAAAAACACUGCGCCAAUGUAAGAAACGGGAUUGAACGAAGGCUGUAAAGCAGUGCACUGGAUAUGGAAAAAUAACAAGCAGGUAGCCAGCCUGCCUGCUGGUAGGUGCCUUCAAUGCACCACUCGGAAAAGAAAAACCUUCCACAACA